rnacentral:rRNA from 1 species
CCUACGGGAGGCAGCAGUAGGGAAUAUUGCUCAAUGGGGGAAACCCUGAAGCAGCAACGCCGCGUGGAGGAUGAAGGUUUUCGGAUUGUAAACUCCUUUUGUUAGAGAAGAUAAUGACGGUAUCUAACGAAUAAGCACCGGCUAACUCCGUGCCAGCAGCCGCGGUAAUACGGAGGGUGCAAGCGUUACUCGGAAUCACUGGGCGUAAAGAGCGCGUAGGCGGGAUAGCAAGUCAGAUGUGAAAUCCUAUGGCUUAACCAUAGAACUGCAUUUGAGACUGUUAUUCUAGAGUAUGGGAGAGGUAGGUGGAAUUCUUGGUGUAGGGGUAAAAUGCGUAGAGAUCAAGAGGAAUACUCAUGGCGAAGGCGACCUGCUAGAACAUAACUGACGCUGAUGCGCGAAAGCGUGGGGAGCAAACAGGAUUAGAUACCCCUGUAGUC